UUACUAACACAAUCUUUCUUCAAUUCACUUCAUUCUAAACAAUUGAUACAACCUCCACAUAUAUAUAGUAGUCAAGUGAGAAUUCUAGAAUUCUCUUGAUUUCUAUCUAGAUUUUUAUACUUAUUUUACUAUUACAAAAUAUCUUCACUUAGUCACUUUUUCUAGAAUUCUCUAUAUUUUUCUUUCUUUCUUUUUCUUCUUAAAAUAUCUUGAUUCUAGAUAUUUCUAAUACAAAUAUCUUCAUUCUAGAUAUUUCUAAUAAAUAUCUUCACUUAAAAAAUCAAGUUUAUUUUUAUAUUCCAACAAAAGAUCGAUUGUCAUCUCCUCCAAAUUUUUAGUUUCUUCGAUCGUCACCACAAUGUGCUCAAACUUUGGGGUUAGUGAGCGCAAUAUUUUCUCCAUAAUUCUUACAUCCUCCAAUUUUUCACCAUUUCUUUUCAUUUGAUUAGACACCGCCA
rnacentral:lncRNA from 1 species